rnacentral:rRNA from 1 species
CCUACGGGGGGCUGCAGUGGGGAAUAUUGCACAAUGGGCGCAAGCCUGAUGCAGCCAUGCCGCGUGUGUGAAGAAGGCCUUCGGGUUGUAAAGCACUUUCAGCGGGGAGGAAGGCGUUAAGGUUAAUAACCUUGUCGAUUGACGUUACCCGCAGAAGAAGCAUCGGCUAACUCCGUGCCAGCAGCCGCGGUAAUACGGAGGGUGCAAGCGUUAAUCGGAAUUACUGGGCGUAAAGCGCACGCAGGCGGUCUGUCAAGUCGGAUGUGAAAUCCCCGGGCUCAACCUGGGAACUGCAUUCGAAACUGGCAGGCUAGAGUCUUGUAGAGGGGGGUAGAAUUCCAGGUGUAGCGGUGAAAUGCGUAGAGAUCUGGAGGAAUACCGGUGGCGAAGGCGGCCCCCUGGACAAAGACUGACGCUCAGGUGCGAAAGCGUGGGGAGCAAACAGGAUUAGAUACCCGAGUAGUC